AAGACUCAACCUCGGUAGACAGUGGACUCAGGGCCUGCCCAUAACUUAUAUCAGCCCAGAGCUGCAGGCCCGAACUUGCUGGUCUCCAGGGGUCCGGCCUCCCUCUCUGGACCGCAGGUGGGCAUUGCUCCUCUCACCCUGCAUUCUCUCUGCAACCUCCAGGGGUCUGAAGGGACCCAAAAUGAACAAGACUAGGUUCCCCUUGCAGGAACUCACUGUCCAUUUGGAGAGGAAGAUGCGGGAACACAAAGCAGUGGGGUCAGUUUUACAAAAGGGAUAGUGAGAUGUAGGGGGAAGGGACAACUGCCUGGGUGCUCAGAGGGCUCUGCGAAGGCGGUGAGAAUACAUUCCCUCGAUGAGCUCGUGUCCCCUGCCAGCUUCUGUGCAGGAUGCUGCACACGCAUUACCUCAUUUGACCCCUGACACAACCCCACGGGGUAGAUUCACCAUCCCCAUUUUACAGAUAAAGAAACUGAGGCUCAGAGAGGCGAUGCAACUUACCUGAGACUCAGCAACGACAGAAUUUGCACCCAGAUCUCUAAGACUCCAAGGUCAGUGUUCCGAGAGAAGAAGCACAGUAUAAUAAUAUAUGGCCCAGGUACUGCGGGGUCUCCACGGAAGAGAAAGGACAAUAUGGAAAAUCUUCAUUCAAUACUUAAUUUCUCAGUGCCCACAUUCCAAAGCAGGCACAGAAUGAGCUGGACAGACCUCAGCCUGCACCUCCACCCUGCUUCUUCCAGAAAAUCACAGAAAUAAUAUUUCUUGGUAAUAAAAUAAAGGCAGACCCUGCCACUUUUCCUUCCUGCCUGUGCAGGCAGAUGCGCUGUGUGGCGGAUCUCAGUGUCAGAAAGACGGCUGGAGGGGAGAAGUGUGGCCGCCCUCAGUCAAUUAAUGGCGGUAAUUACACACUGCAAACAGUCUGGGGUAUAAUUAAGACUGGAGGCCCAGGGCUGGGUGUGCACCCCAUUGAGAUGAGCACCAUCAAACAAUGGGGGUUGGAGACUCAGCUCUCUCCAGGAGACAUCAACAUGUCUGGUCCAGCCCUUGGGGCAGGCUGCA
rnacentral:lncRNA from 10 species